CCUACGGGAGGCAGCAGUGGGGAAUAGUGGGCAAUGGGCGCAAGCCUGACCCAGCAACGCCGCGUGAAGGAAGAAGGCUGUCGGGUGGUAAACUUCUUUUCGCAGGGACGAAGAAAGUGACGGUACCUGAGGAAUAAGCCACGGCUAACUACGUGCCAGCAGCCGCGGGAAUACGUAGGUGGCAAGCUUUAUCCGGAUUUACGGGGUGUAAAGGGCGUGUAGGCGGGAAAGCAAGGCAGAUGUGAAAACCCUGGGCUCAACCUGUGGCCUGCAUUUGAAACUGUUUUUCUUGAGUACUGGAGAGGCAGCCGGAAUUCCUCUUGUAGCGGUGAAAUGCGUAGAUAUUAGGCG
rnacentral:rRNA from 1 species